GUUUCCGUAGGUGAACCUGCGGAAGGAUCAUUAUCGAAUUUCGAGGGGAAGGAAGAUGAGGAGUGGAGACUGUCGCUGGCUUUCCCGCCUGGGAAGCGUGUGCACGCCUUGCUUUUCGUUGACCUUUCUCUUACUCUCACACCUGUGCACCCAUUGUAGGUCCUCGAAAGAGGAUCUAUGUUUUUAUCAUCACACGCCUCGUAUGUCCAUAGAAUGUAACAUGAUCGUCGAUCGACCUCGCGGUCGGAUGGCGGUCUAAAUAAAUAAAUACAACUUUCAGCAACGGAUCUCUUGGCUCUC
rnacentral:misc_RNA from 1 species